rnacentral:tRNA from 1 species
GCGGAGAUGGUCUCAGCAGGUCAGAGACGCCGACAUUGCGUCGGCCGAUGGUUGGUUCGAAUCCAGCCCCGCA